rnacentral:rRNA from 1 species
UUGGAGGGCAAGUCUGGUGCCAGCAGCCGCGGUAAUUCCAGCUCCAAUAGCGUAUAUUAAAGUUGUUGCAGUUAAAAAGCUCGUAGUUGAAUUUCGGGAUCAAAUUGUCGGUCGUGCCUCGGUACGCACUGGUAUUAUUGGUUCCUACCUUCUGAAGAACCGCGAUGUCAUUAAUUUGGUGUCGUGGGGAAUCAGGACUGUUACUUUGAAAAAAUUAGAGUGUUUAAAGCAGGCUUUAGCUUGAAUACAUUAGCAUGGAAUAAUGAAAUAGGACGUUCGAUCCUAUUUUGUUGGUUUCUAGGAUUGACGUAAUGAUUAAUAGGGAUAGUUGGGGGCAUUAGUAUUCAAUUGUCAGAGGUGAAAUUCUUGGAUUUAUUGAAGACUAACUACUGCGAAAGCAUUUGCCAAGGAUGUUUUCAUUAAUCAAGAACGAAAGUUAGGGGAUCGAAGACGAUCAGAUACCGUCGUAGUCUUAACCAUAAACUAUGCCGACUAGGGAUCGGAUGAUGUUGACUUUUUAAUGACUCAUUCGGCGCCUUACGGGAAACCAAAGUGUUUGGGUUC